ACGUAGGGCGCGAGCGUUGUCCGGAAUUAUUGGGCGUAAAGAGCUCGUAGGUGGCUUGUUGCGUCUGCCGUGAAAGCCCGUGGCUUAACUACGGGUCUGCGGUGGAUACGGGCAGGCUAGAGGCUGGUAGGGGCAAGCGGAAUUCCUGGUGUAGCGGUGAAAUGCGCAGAUAUCAGGAGGAACACCGAUGGCGAAGGCAGGUCUCUGGGCCGCAACUGACGCUGAGGAGCGAAAGCAUGGGGAGCGAACAGGA
rnacentral:rRNA from 1 species